GACGGAGGAUGCAAGCGUUAUCCGGAAUGAUUGGGCGUAAAGCGUCCGCAGGUGGCAGUUCAAGUCUGCUGUCAAAGACCGGGGCUUAACUUCGGAAAGGCAGUGGAAACUGAACAGCUAGAGUAUGGUAGGGGCAGAGGGAAUUCCUGGUGUAGCGGUGAAAUGCGUAGAUAUCUGGAGGAACACCGGUGGCGAAGGCGGCAUCCUGGACCAAUUCUGACGCUGAGGAGCGAAAGCCAGGGGAGCAAACGGG
rnacentral:rRNA from 1 species